rnacentral:rRNA from 1 species
GACGAACGCUGGCGGCGUGCUUAACACAUGCAAGUCGAACGGAAAGGCCCUGCUUUUGUGGGGUGCUCGAGUGGCGAACGGGUGAGUAACACGUGAGUAACCUGCCCUUGACUUUGGGAUAACUUCAGGAAACUGGGGCUAAUACCGGAUAGGAGCUCCUGCUGCAUGGUGGGGGUUGGAAAGUUUCGGCGGUUGGGGAUGGACUCGCGGCUUAUCAGCUUGUUGGUGGGGUAGUGGCUUACCAAGGCUUUGACGGGUAGCCGGCCUGAGAGGGUGACCGGCCACAUUGGAACUGAGAACCGGCCCAAACUCCUAGGGAGGGAAGCGGUGGGAAAUAUUGCACAAGGGCGGAAGCCUGAUGCAGCAACGCCGCGUGCGGGAUGACGGCCUUCGGGUUGUAAACCGCUUUCGCCUGUGACGAAGCGUGAGUGACGGUAAUGGGUAAAGAAGCACCGGCUAACUACGUG